GACGAACGCUGGCGGCGUGCUUAACACAUGCAAGUCGAACGGAAAGGCCCUGCUUUUGUGGGGUGCUCGAGUGGCGAACGGGUGAGUAACACGUGAGUAACCUGCCCUUGACUUUGGGAUAACUUCAGGAAACUGGGGCUAAUACCGGAUAGGAGCUCCUGCUGCAUGGUGGGGGUUGGAAAGUUUCGGCGGUUGGGGAUGGACUCGCGGCUUAUCAGCUUGUUGGUGGGGUAGUGGCUUACCAAGGCUUUGACGGGUAGCCGGCCUGAGAGGGUGAUCGGCCACACUGGAACUGAGACACGGUCCAGAAUACUACGGGAGGCAGCAGUAGGGAAUCUUGCGCAAUGGGCGAAAGCCUGACGGAGCAACGCCGCGUGAGUGAUGAAGGUCUUCGGAUCGUAAAACGCUGGUAUUAGGGAAGAAAAAAUGUGUAAGUAAAUAUGCACGUCGUGACGGUACCUAAUCAGAAAGCCACGGCUAACUACGUG
rnacentral:rRNA from 1 species